rfam:Ciona savignyi cont_28410, whole genome shotgun sequence.
GGUAGCGUGGCCGAGAGGUCUAAGGCGCUGGUUUUAGGCACCAGUCAUUUCGAUGGCUUGGUUUCGAAUCCCACCGCUGCCA